AUUAAUUAAUUAAAAUAAUUAUGUCUUCCACCCAAACCUUAUACUUAUUCUUAUCAGAAAACCCUAAUCAAUGAAACCCUAUUCUCUCAAUUAUGGCAUCCACCCAAACUGACAAAAAUCAAAGUCAAAAUCAAGAAUCAAACGUAAGUAUGAUCUAUCCUUUCAUCCAUUCAUUAGCUAGUGUAAUUCUCGGAAUAUUUCAUGGCAUCGUUGUUUUUUUUUAUUUUGUUUUUUUUUGAGUUUUUUGAUUGAAUACAUGUUUUGAUUUGUUUUCUCGAUUAGAAAAUCAUUUGGUCAAACGAGACCACAUUUGCGUUACUUCAACGGGUUAUUGUGGAGAAAUAAACGGAAGAAUCCAAAGACCCCAAAAUCAGAUUUCUAAGUGAUGUUCAAAAAGAAAAUAUUCUUAAGAAUAUUAACGUUUGGAAAAAAUUUGAGUUGGAGAUGUGUUAAAAAUCGUUUGGAUAUCUUGAAGAAACUUUAUCAUAUGUAUAGAGGCAAUCCGGAAAACCCGCGAGUUCAACGUUAUUUACAGUUUAUCACACUACUUGAUGCAAUUUUUGGUGAUGUACCAAAUGCAUAAAGUAUUAAACUUUUUCUUACAAAAUUUAUUUAUUUUUGAAUUUUUAGUUUUAUUUAUGGUUUUAAUUAUUAAGUAUGUUU
rnacentral:sRNA from 1 species